GCCCCCAUUUAAGGGGGUUCCCACGGGGGGGGAGGGGCGGCCCGCGGGUGUUUGGGAGGUUUUUUUUUUGGGGGGGCGCGAUGGGGACCCCGAGGGCCCUCCUGCCCCUCCCCCUCCUGCUGCUCGUGACCCUCGGCUGUGACGUCACGCCCCGGGACCCCCCCACGGAUGGGACCUCUGAGAUGUCGGAGACCGAGUUGGUGUGCGGCCGGCCGGCCCUCCCCCUCUGGUGCGGAACGGGGG